UACGGAGGGUGCAAGCGUUAUCCGGAUUCACUGGGUUUAAAGGGUGCGUAAGGUGGGAAUGUAAGUCAGUGGUUGAAAUCUCCGUGCUUAAACACGGAAACGUGCCAUUGACUACUAUGUUUCUUGAAUUUUCUGGAGGUUAGCGGAAUAUGUCGAUGGAUAGGCGGUUGAAAUGCUUAGAUAAUGACAUAGAACACCCAUUGCGA
rnacentral:rRNA from 1 species